UACGUAGGGGGCAAGCGUUGUCCGGAUUUAUUGGGCGUAAAAGGCUUGUAGGUGGCCACGCCAAGUCGGAUGUGAAAUCUCCCGGCUCAACUGGGAGGGGUCAUUCGAUACUGGCGGGCUCGAGGCCGGUAGGGGGAAGUGGAAUUCCCGGUGUAGUGGUGGAAUGCGUAGAUAUCGGGAGGAACACCAGUGGCGAAGGCGACUUCCUGGCCUGUUCUUGACGCUGAGGCGCGAAAGCUAGGGGAGCAAACGGG
rnacentral:rRNA from 1 species